GAAUUAGUGUCGGCCGUCAGGGGCCGGUGAAAAGGGAAACGGGUGUGAGUCCCGUGCGGUGCCGCCGCUGUAAGCGCAAAUAUGGCAGCCUGGAUUUCACUGUUGGCGUUAUCAAAGGAUGACCCGAUGGGAAGAAACCAGACAGAAUUGCCGCGCAAGCCAGAAGACCUGCUUUUUCCG
rnacentral:ncRNA from 1 species